UACGUAGGGGGCAAGCGUUGUCCGGAUUUAUUGGGCGUAAAGCGCGUGUAGGCGGCCAGAUAGGUCUGCUGUGAAAACUCGAGGCUCAACCUCGAGCUGUCGGCGGAAACCAUCUGGCUAGAGUCCGGAAGAGGAGAGUGGAAUUCCUGGUGUAGCGGUGAAAUGCGCAGAUAUCAGGAAGAACACCCGUGGCGAAGGCGGCUCUCUGGGACGGUACUGACGCUGAUGCGCGAAAGCUAGGGGAGCAAACAGG
rnacentral:rRNA from 1 species